rnacentral:rRNA from 1 species
AUUGAACGCUCGCGGCAGGCCUAACACAUGCCAGUCGAGCGGAGCGGCGGACGGGUGAGUAAUGCCUAGGAAUCUGCCUGGUAGCGGGGGCUACCGUCCGGAAACGGGCGCUAAUACCGCAUACUAUCAGAUGAGCCUAGGUCGGAUUAGCUAGUUGGUGGGGUAAAGGCCUACCAAGGCGACGAUCCGUAACUGGUCUGAGAGGAUGAUCAGUCACACUGGAACUGAGACACGGUGCAUAGUCCUACGGGAGGCAGGUGUGGAGAAGAUUGGAAGAGUGGCCAAGGCCUGAUCCAGCCACGCCGCGGGUAGGAAUAAGGUCGUCGGAUUGUGGAGCACUUUAAGUUGGGAGGCGUUACCAACAGAAUAAGCACCGGCUAACUGCGUGCCAGCCGCCGCGGUAAUAC